rnacentral:misc_RNA from 1 species
GUGAAUCAUCGAAUUUUUGAACGCAAAUUGCACUCUCUGGUAUUCCGGGGAGUAUGCUUGCUUGAGGGUUAGUUUGUUACAAUCGUAAAAAGAAAUUUUUACGGAUCUGAAUUUUCCAAAAUUUAGAUUCUUUGUAAUCUAAAAUUUAUCAUAACAAUAGGUUAUAUUGGAAAUGUUUAUUUUUGAUUCAUUAACAAUUAUUCCCAAAUUUGUUACUUCUUGUUUUUUUCCUAAUUUCUUAAUUAGUUAAAAGUAAUACAUUUUUUCUUUUGAAAUCUAACCUCAAUACAAGUAAUAAUA